rnacentral:rRNA from 1 species
AACGAACGCUGGCGGCAUGCUUAUCACAUGCAAGUCGAACGAGACCUUCGGGUCUAGUGGCUCACGGGUGCGUAACGCGUGGGAAUCUGCCCUUUGCUACGGAAUAACUCAGAGAAAUUUGUGCUAAUACCGUAUAAUGUCGUAAGACCAAAGAUUUAUCGGCAAAGGAUGAGCCCGCGUAAGAUUAGCUUGUUGGUGGGGUAAAGGCCUACCAAGGCGACGAUCUUUAGCUGGUCUGAGAGGAUGAUCAGCCACACUGGGACUGAGACACGGCCCAGACUCCUACGGGAGGCAGCAGUGGGGAAUAUUGGACAAUGGGCGAAAGCCUGAUCCAGCAAUGCCGCGUGAGUGAUGAAGGCCUUAGGGUUGUAAAGCUCUUUUACCAGGGAUGAUAAUGACAGUACCUGGAGAAUAAGCUCCGGCUAACUCCGUGCCAGCCGCCGCAGUAA